GCAGUCGUGGCCAAAGGGGUUAAGGUGAUGGACUAGGAAUCCAUUGGGGUCUCCCCGCACAGGUUCGACCGCUGUCGACUGCG
rfam:Ixodes scapularis strain Wikel colony gcontig_1107728539150, whole genome shotgun sequence.